UGGGGAAUAUUGGACAAUGGGCGAAAGCCUGAUCCAGCCAUGCCGCGUGUGUGAAGAAGGUCUUCGGAUUGUAAAGCACUUUAAGUUGGGAGGAAGGGCAUUAACCUAAUACGUUAGUGUUUUGACGUUACCGACAGAAUAAGCACCGGCUAACUCUGUGCCAGCAGCCGCGGUAAUACAGAGGGUGCAAGCGUUAAUCGGAAUUACUGGGCGUAAAGCGCGCGUAGGUGGUUUGUUAAGUUGGAUGCGAAAUCCCCGGGCUCAACCUGGGAACUGCAUUCAAAACUGACUGACUAGAGUAUGGUAGAGGGUGGUGGAAUUUCCUGUGUAGCGGUGAAAUGCGUAGAUAUAGGAAGGAACACCAGUGGCGAAGGCGACCACCUGGACUAAUACUGACACUGAGGUGCGAAAGCGUGGGGAGCAAACA
rnacentral:rRNA from 1 species